UCACGCGCCCCCCUCUGCCUCUUUUCCUCCCUUUCUCUCUCUCUCUCUCUGUCUCUGUUGUCUAAACCCCAUUAAUAUCUCAGAGCCAUUUCGAAACACAUCAGUGAUUCAUCAGAGCCAUUUGGAAAUCGAAAUCAAAAUCGAAGUUCAUCUCAACGAUUCAGAUCGGUGAGCUCCACCGUCUCUCUCUCUCUCUGUGUCUCUCUGCUGUCUAAUCCUAAUUAUCUCAGAGAUUCAGCUCGGUGAUUCAGAGAUUCAGAUCGGUCUCAGCGAAACAUAUCGGUGAUUCAUCAGAGCCAUUUCGAAGUUCUCUCUCAAAAUCGAAGUUCAUCUCAGCGAUUCAGAUCGAUGACUUUGGAACCUUGCAGUCCAAGCCUAAAAUGUUUAAAAAUUGGUUUUUGGACCUUGUACGCCUUGGUUCAGUCCUCAAUAAUGCUGCUGAAUCUUUUUUCAAGAGUGAAAUACGGCAGAGAUUAUUUGUGAUAGUUGUGUAUUGUGAUAAGUCGUAUUGGUUAUUUUAUUCCUCUGCCUAGAUUUGAUAGAAGGUUGAUACCGGAGGACUACCUUAGCUUUGUCUCAGUAUCUGUUGGUAAGUAAUCCAAAAUUACAAGUUUUAGUUGCUUUAUUCAAAAUAUUUUCCUAGUGGUCUGAACGGUGAUGGCUAAAUUGGGAAUGCUUAUUUUUUGUUUAAAAGUAAACUGGUAGCUGCUGUAAUGUACCAGUGCUGUUCUGGUGAAGCUGGAUUCUUUAAUGAAAGAACACUUGUUUCUGUUUCCCAUUUUGUUCUUGGAAAAGAUUAUUUAUGCAUUCUGUUUUUUAGAUGAACUCGGAGAUUUCACGGCUGAACUUAAGCUUUCCCUUUCCUAACUUGGAAUCAAUCCUCAGAUUGCUGCAUCAAUUCUCAUGCAGUGGAUGGGUAGGAGUACGAGGAAAGCUCCUCUUGCUGUUUUGGACAAGAUCAAGGAAGAGCUAAUGCUUUUUGGAUUUAUCUUUCUUCCAUAUUCAACACAUUUCCUAGAAUUCAACAAAGUCUAUUAUGUGACUGCAGACCUUAAGAGAUCUCAUCUGUGCAUACUAUUGAGAAAAAAGACAAGAUAGUAACAAUUCAACAGGCACCAUGACACCUGCAUUGAAAAGCAAGUGCUCAUCAUCUGAAUCAAUAUUGUGAAGAUAUACACGAUUGUUACUAAAUUUUGUAUGUUGCUGCAGAGUUUGGACCUCUGAGACAAGGAGCAUGAAACAGAUACACUCUUGAUCAAAGGGGAAGCAUGACAAAAAUGGUAUACCUAUUGAACAUUGGAUUUGUUGAACAAGAUGGAGGUUGCAACAACUAAACUAGGUCAGUCAUUUGGUGGAACAAAUGAUUCCCAGAAAUCUGUAUUUGAUUUGGUAGACUUUGCAGGGGAUUUAAUUGUUGAGGACACAAAUAGGAGCUCGGAGCGCAAUCCAGUGCUACAGAUGAGGAGAUCUUCACACGGGUUCUUGGGCCUGAUUGUGUUUGAACAUAUGGAUUGAGUCCUUUCUCCGACAAAUGUCUUUGGAGGUGGAUAUAGGCAGUCACAAGAGCAGACUCAUCUCAUCCCGAUGCAAGUCCAAGAACAACUUAACCAACAUAAAGUACAAAUGGAGAUGCAAGUGAAGGAGAUGAUGGAUGCUAUGUUUAGUCAGAUGCAAGGAGCUCGGAGCGCAAUCCAGUGCUACAGAUGAGGAGAUCUUCACACGGGUUCUUGGGCCUGAUUGUGUUUGAACAUAUGGAUUGAGUCCUUUCUCCGACAAAUGUCUUUGGAGGUGGAUAUAGGCAGUCACAAGAGCAGACUCAUCUCAUCCCGAUGCAAGUCCAAGAACAACUUAACCAACAUAAAGUACAAAUGGAGAUGCAAGUGAAGGAGAUGAUGGAUGCUAUGUUUAGUCAGAUGCAAGGUACAAUCCAAGCUCAACAAGCACGAAUAGAGCAGUUAGAGUCUCAACAGGCCAUGGGUGGGCCUGUUGCACCAGCUGCUACACAUGUGCAUUCACAACUAUAAUCCCAUGCAUACACCUCAUCGUUUAAUUGCCAUCAUUCAUCCGAGGAAGUUCAAAUAUCAAAGGAAGAAGAAGAAGAAGAAGAAGAUAGGACAAACUCAAUGUCGGAGGGACUAUUUUUUGUAGAUUUACCUUAAUUUUUGACCGAGAAGUGGCCGAUCUGAAUCCUACCGUCGUCGGUUGAGUGAAGAGAGACUCCGGCUCAGCCUCUGUCAACAAUGGCUCAGACAUUUCAGAGGAAGGAAGUGCAAGUGGGAAGGAGGAGGAGGAGAGGGACGAGGGAUGUGGGAGGAAGGAAUUUAGUGUUGAAAGAAUGACUGGGAAGUUUGCCUAUGGGGCUGCUACAACAAACUCUUGUAACAUUAGCGUUAGAGCUGUGUCAGAAUUUAAUAAUGGCCAACCCAGAUGAAUUGCAGAGCCUCACGCCCCUUCAGAUGUUGAGCAUUCUAGAAUGUCCAAGAUUGGCGAGUUGUUGGGAUGAGAGGCUGCUCUGCCUAACCAGGCUUCAAAUACCCCUUCAUCUCCCUGGAGUCUCUAACUUAAUGGAGGUGGGAAGGGGUCAAAUAUCUCCCUGAUCAACUUCAGCCCCUCACUGUCUUGAGAGAGUUGUUAAUUGAACAUUUCAAUGGACUGAAAGCUCUGCUAAAAUGCUUGGGUAAGCUUUCAUCUCUUCAUUCUUUGGAGCUGUGGGAUUGUGAGAAUCUGAUGAAUCUUCCCACCCUGGAAGCAACCCAACGCCUCACCAAUUUACCAUCUUUGAGAACUAGUGGUCCCCAUCUAAAGGAAAGAUGUGCAAGGGAAAGCGGUCAAGAAUGGCACAAGAUUGCCCAUAUUCCAUCCAUCCACAUGUUCUGGAUUGAGAUUAUCCCUGGCCAUGAGAUCAUAGGGGAGGAAGAAUGUGGCAUUCAUGAGCACUAGUAUUGAUCGCAAUGUGUGAAAUUGAUUCAAAAAAUGGAAAGUUUGCAAUGGUGAUGAAUAUGUUUUUGCAGUGGCAGUUGUCCGUUUUUAGUAUGUCAAAUGAGAGAGAUGUGGAAUAAGCAAUAGUGUGGUGAGUGAAAUACUAUCGUGGGUUGGUUCAAAAAAAAAAGAAAUACUAUCGUGGGUUUGACGAGCAAUAUUAUUAAUCAAAAUAUGAAAAUUGAUU